rnacentral:rRNA from 1 species
UAACUGGGCGUAAAGGGCACGCAGGCGGUGACUUAAGUGAGGUGUGAAAGCCCCGGGCUUAACCUGGGAAUUGCAUUUCAUACUGGGUCGCUAGAGUACUUUAGGGAGGGGUAGAAUUCCACGUGUAGCGGUGAAAUGCGUAGAGAUGUGGAGGAAUACCGAAGGCGAAGGCAGCCCCUUGGGAAUGUACUGACGCUCAUGUGCGAAAGCGUGGGGAGCAAACAGGAUUAGAUACCCUGGUAGUCCACGCUGUAAACGAUGUCGAUUUGGGGGUUGAACUUUGAGUUUGGCGCCCGUAGCUAACGUGAUAAAUCGACCGCCUGGGGAGUACGGCCGCAAGGUUAAAACUCAAAUGAAUUGACGGGGGCCCGCACAAGCGGUGGAGCAUGUGGUUUAAUUCGAUGCAACGCGAAGAACCUUACCUACUCUUGACAUCCAGAGAACUUUCCAGAGAUGGAUUGGUGCCUUCGGGAACUCUGAGACAGGUGCUGCAUGGCUGUCGUCAGCUCGUGUCGUGAGAAG